rnacentral:misc_RNA from 1 species
CUCCAACCAUCUUGUGACAGUAUUUACAUCACAACCCCCAGAUUUCAUCUCAUCCCACGUAUUAUUAGAUGCAGGAGAUGCAUUAUUCCCUUCAUUACUAGUAUCCCCCUGCCAAAACUCAUUGGNNNNNNUGUUGUCUUGUAUCAUAAGCAGGUCCAUCCAUAUCAAACUCAUAAGCCUCUUUACUUGUAGCUGGUGUUUCGUGAUCUGACAAGUCCUUAAAGCCAUUAUCAG